GAUGAAGAACGUAGCGAAAUGCGAUACUUGGUGUGAAUUGCAGAAUCCCGUGAACCAUCGAGUCUUUGAACGCAAGUUGCGCUCGAAGCCAUUAGGCCGAGGGCACGCCUGCCUGGGCGUCACACGUCGUUGCCCCCCCAUCUACUCCUUCGGGAUUGCGGGGGGCGGAUGAUGGCCUCUCGUGCGCCUCGUCGCGCGGUUGGCCUAAAUGCCAAGUCCUCGGCGACGCACGCCACGACAAUCGGUGGUUGCGAAACCUCGGUUGCCUGUCGUGUGCGGUCGUCGCGCAUCGAGGGCUCGAAAAAAUUGCCGGGCUUCGGCUCGACUUUCAACGCGACCCCAGGUCAGGCGGGGUUACCCGCUGAAUUUAAGCAUAUCAAUAAGCGGAGGA
rnacentral:misc_RNA from 1 species